GGCGGACGGGUGAGUAACGCGUAAGGAACUUGCCUCUUGGACUGGGACAACUGUUGGAAACGACAGCUAAUACCGGAUAUUAUGAGAUUCUCGCAUGAGAAACUUAUGAAAGCUAUAUGCGCCAAGAGAGAGCCUUGCGUUCCAUUAGCUAGUUGGUGGGGUAACGGCCCACCAAGGCGACGAUGGAUAGCCGGCCUGAGAGGGUGAACGGCCACAAGGGGACUGAGACACGGCCCUUACUCCUACGGGAGGCAGCAGUGGGGAAUAUUGGACAAUGGGCCACAAGCCUGAUCCAGCAAUUCUGUGUGCACGAUGAAGGUCUUCGGAUUGUAAAGUGCUUUCAGUUGGGAAGAAGAAAGUGACGGUACCAACAGAAGAAGCGACGGCUAAAUACGUGCCAGCAGCCGCGGUAAUACGUAUGUCGCAAGCGUUAUCCGGAUUUAUUGGGCGUAAAGCGCGUCUAGGCGGAAAAAUAAGUCUGAUGUUAAAAUGCGGGGCUCAACUCCGUAUUGCGUUGGAAACUGUUUUUCUAGAGUACUGGAGAGGUGGGCGGAACUACAAGUGUAGAGGUGAAAUUCGUAGAUAUUUGUAGGAAUGCCGAUGGAGAAGUCAGCUCACUGGACAGAUACUGACGCUGAAGCGCGAAAGCGUGGGGAGCAAAC
rnacentral:rRNA from 1 species